UCAAAAAAAAAAAAAAAAAAAAGGUAGGUGGCUAUGGCACCAAAGAACAAGACGAGAGCUCUGUAGAUAGAAAACCCAAACACAUACAUCCGGAGUUGCAUGUCAGUUGAAACUACAACCCAGACACUAACUAUUGUUACUUUAACAGUCCAUCACAAUUUUUUUUUUAUACCAAAGUACUAAUUCUGUUAAAUGAAAGUAAAAACGUUUUUUUUGGGACUAACCAACAAUUACUUACAAAGUGUUUGGGACUUGUAUGGUUACAUACAAUGUGUUUGUUAGAAACACAAGAAUGGUGAAAACUACUUCCCUCAACAGGCAAACACUAACUUAACCCAUUUUCAAAGCCAUUGUCACCUGACCAACAGAACAAUUUUCCAGCCUUGAGUCAGCUCAUACCAGGUACUGAUGAGAGCUGAACAAAACGAGAGAGCUGAACAAAACGAGAGAUCUGGUCCAAGUCUCAAUGUUGGGCUGGCUAGAGGCACUCCACCUCACUUAAACUACAAUGCUCCAUUGUACUAGUUCUCAGCUCUUCAUUUUCAAGUCCAUUUACUAACUGAAGCCUGAUGUGAACAAAAGCUGAUGAUAGCAUCUGAUGACAGACCACAAUACUAACAGACAAGAAUAAAAAAUAAUUGAUUAUAAAUUUUAUAAGCCCCCCCCCC